AUAGCAUUUUGGAUGCAAGUAAUUUUCUCCACAUAGUCUUGUCUCCUUGUGCCCACACUGUAAGAGUAUUCGUGUGCUUCAAGUACAUGUUCCUUCCUUUCAAAGCCUUAACACACCAUCAGCUUUCUUUACAGGUUGGAGGACUGUGACUAAUUUUCUUCCAGAGCCCAAUAACAUCUCUCCUGAGCUGGACUACAGAGCAAACCAAGACACCCAGAGCACUGACCGCAUGCUGUCCACUCCUAGGAAGUGCUCUGCCCACUGUCUAGGGGAAAGCUGCAAGGCACCUGCUCAAAGUUCAGCCCACAGACAACAAAGACCCACACUGUAGCUCAGUCUGCUCUCCCCAGCUAAAAAGGUAUGAAAGGUAAACAAGAGCAAAAAUAUGCAGAUAAUUUACAUCCUCUCUUCAAUCACACAGCACACAGAGGUGUGCUUCCCCCCGCACAAGGUGCUUUGGAUAUUACAGCUCAGAUCAAUGCAACAGCCCACAGGACAAACUUGCCUUUGCUGCAAUUUCAGAACCCAGCGAGGCGUUUCACACCGUUCUAUACUUACCUGUGAGAAGACACACAUGCAGAAGGACAGAGAAGAGGCAGCUAGACUCAAGGUCUGCAAUUCUCUCAGGCUGAGCCCUCUUUCACCUCCAGGAAGUGAGGGGAAGGCUGCUCCCUGCCAAGAAAGUGCAGUCAGGUUUCUGGCACACACUGGGCAGGCAGAGGGCUUGUGUCUAAGGUUGGCAGGAGUGAUGCUUCUUCAAGUGCACAUGGUGCCUCCAGUCAGUCAUCACUUGAAGAAGUCACAGAAGAGGAGAGAUGGGCAGCAGAUUAAAUGUUUGCAAGGAAAGCAGAAUAAUGUGCAAAAACAAGAUGAAACAGAUGUGUCAUUACGAUUCAGACAGAAAUGUAAAUCAGCUGAAGACAUCAGAACAAAAUGCCUUAACUGCCUGUCUCGUGGCUGCAGGGAUGGCUGUGGUUACAGCAGACAGAGGAAAAUCCAUUGAGACGUGUGCUUAUCUAUCAAUUGUACCAGCUGUUUCUGGUAUGCAGCAACUGACUGACCACAGUAAGGAAACACGGAUGUAAUCAGUUAGCAAACUGCUCCUUUCUCAGCAAGGAUGAUAAGGAUUGUUGGCAAACCCACAGAGAGUUACGGGAAUAGAGGAAUUGGUGCGCUGAAGUCACUUCCUAUCACCCGGGAGUCCCUGGGCUCAGAGCAUUGUUUGCUUUCCUAGUAUGGAUCUUGGUGUUUGUCUGCACUAGUUCAGAUCUAUAAGUGCACUCACCCUGUCCCAGCACACAGAACCCACUCAGAGAGAUUGCCAACGCAAUCUUCUGUCUACCUCUGUGGAAAGGAUUCAGACUGCCUGUGAGCAGAGAGAGUGAUUCUUUACCACAUCUUUACACCGGCAAAACACCUUUUGCAGAGGUAUUUGCAAAACCAGGCAUGACUUAAUCAAUUCUGGGAAGAGGCAUAUGCCAACAGAAACACUCUUUUGCCAACACAAACUGUGCUGCCACUAGAGGAGUAUCGGCAAUCCCACUCUUGUCAGCGUGGGGCCUCCACUUCACUGAUUAGGUGCUGUACGGGUGGACAGUGCAGGAGGUUCCCAGCCAGUGAGGUCAGUGCUGAGGUGAGCCCCUUCUCCCUCAUCUCAAGAGGAAGCGGUGGCUAUUUCAGCUGCACCUGCAUCAACAGAGAAUUUACAGAAACUAGAGGUGAGCUCCUGAAUGCGCAGCUGGUUACUGUUGCAGUCUGUAGAUGGGAAAAUGGUCUGCUGCAUUGUACGUGGUCAACACAGAUUUGAUGAUACCUUGGCAGUAUCUGGUGUCUUCUCUGAGGUCUUGACAGCCAACUCAAAGAAGGCUUCUGCUACAGCCCUGCAUACAACUAAUUGCAGCCUAGCACUGAGGCCUGCUGGCUGCGAACAGGGAACCAGUACGUUAAUCAGCCUGUGCUCCCCUGGAAUUUGUACACAAUCAGAGACCUCCACAAUGCUUCCGAAUCGGUUCCAGGAGGAAGGUUGGGAGAAAAGGCUCUGCUGGCCCCAAGGGACUGGCAAUGGGCAAAAGGCACCUUUCACCUAGACGUGGGGAAUUUAUCACUGGCAUGGAGUUGGCAGUGGGUGAAAGCCCUGUUUUGUUACUGCUGGCAAACGUGUCGGCAGCUUCCUGUGGGUUCGAAGCGGCUAGGAGCCUAUCAGUCAGUCCCCGAUAACUCUCCUGCCUGCUUUGCCAGGGAGGUGCUGGAGGACUG